UUUUUGUUCUUGUUUUAUUGUUACUGUUCUUAGUUCUCAGUUUCUCUAUCCCCAGUGUUCAGGUACAUAAUGUACAAUCUACAAACACUUUUAGACAUCGGAGCAAGAUCUGCAGGAUUAUCACUUAAUCUGAAAGAUCUGGACUGCAUCAGCUCGCACAGACUUCCCCGACAGGGCCUGGAAACCAUGGUAUCACCUCAACAAGGGCAUUGUGUCCUAAGAAGACUAAGACACAGGAGCAGUAUGACAGCAAUGACCCUGCAGCCUACAGGAACAUGCUUGUGGUACACCGACACAGAUGAGAUAAGAUCACUUUAUUAG
rnacentral:lncRNA from 1 species